rnacentral:rRNA from 1 species
ACGAACGCUGGCGGCAUGCCUAACACAUGCAAGUCGAACGAGACCUUCGGGUCUAGUGGCGCACGGGUGCGUAACGCGUGGGAACCUGCCCUUAGGUUCGGAAUAACUCCCCGAAAGGGGUGCUAAUACCGGAUAAUGUCUUCGGACCAAAGAUUUAUCGCCUUUGGAUGGGCCCGCGUUGGAUUAGCUAGUUGGUAGGGUAAAAGCCUACCAAGGCGACGAUCCAUAGCUGGUCUGAGAGGAUGAUCAGCCACACUGGGACUGAGACACGGCCCAGACUCCUACGGGAGACAGCAGUGGGGAAUAUUGGACAAUGGGCGAAAGCCUGAUCCAGCAAUGCCGCGUGAGUGAUGAAGGCCUUAGGGUUGUAAAGCUCUUUUACCCGGGAUGAUAAUGACAGUACCGGGAGAAUAAGCUCCGGCUAACUCCGU